UAUCCCUCUUUCUCUCAUUUUUGUUAUCUCUUUCUCUCUCUCACGUCUCUGUUUUCCUUCCCCCUCUUUCUCUUCUUCUUCAUUCACUCUCUUCUCCCUCUUUCUUUUCUUCCUCGAAACGAAAGGCUACAGUGGUGCGAACAGGGGAGAAGAUGACGAAAGGCUAAUUUGGCGACGAUGUCGGAUUCGUAACGAACAUGUGUGGUUGGCCACUGUUUAUGCAAUUUGAAGGUAAUGUUUUAUACCUUCACUCCAAGUUGCUUCUGAUAUAUUAUGCUCUUCCUCUUCAUCUUUUUUUCCAGAUCCAACACUUUCGUGGCUUAGGUUUUCUAGAUCCAACACUUUCGUGGCUUAGGGUUUGCGGAUCCAAUGCUUUCUGUUUCUUCUGUAUAGGAUGCAAUAAGUGGUGGUGGUGGUUGCGUGCCUUCUCAUGUCGACAUAUUUUUUUAGGUGAAAGGACAUUGUUGUUAUUUUCUUAUUCCAAUGAUUAUCGAGCAAUACAUGUGUCUCUGGUGAAGGUGUACUUAAAGGCGCAUCUAGAAGAUUUGGCUGAGAAAUUUGCCAGGGAGAAAGUUCAAGUAAGCAUUAUUAAAAUUGGUCGUGAAUGGUCACAACAUUCUGCCGGGUCUCACGUUUCCCGGCUGAUAAGUUUUUUUCAAAAUCUAUCCAGCUACCCCUUGAACAAAUCACCAUGCUAUCUGAGCCAACAUUGUGUGUUAAUGUUGCUACUACUAACCAAGUAAUUGCUAAUCCAAAUGAAUGGUACCACAAAGCAUGCCACCAGUGCCUUCAGGUUGCAAAGAGCGACGCUCCAUCUUACUUUUGCAGGGACGGACACCGAACUUAGACGUAGACAUGGAGGUUUAAGAUAGUUAUCGAAGUUGUGCAUGAAGGAAAUGCGGCGAACUUCGUGUUCUGGGACAAUGAGGCUGCUGAACUUUUAAAAACAACUGCUGCACAUCUUCGUGCAACCAUGAAAGAGGUUGUUGCUGCGUAUAUGAUGAGUCAAACUCUAAAUGAGAAGGGAUACAAUGCAUAUGCCUUCUCCAUUCCUUCAGGGAAGGAGUUUCUGUCCAUACUUAGUCUUGCUGCUCCUGUAUUUGUGACAUUGAUGUUGAAGGUGGCUUUCUACUAUCUACUUAUAUAUUUUGCUACAAUGAGUACACAUAAAAUGGUUGCUUAUCAAGUUAGUUUUUCUCUGAAAUCUGGAAGUGAAAUAGUGAUGAGUUAUUACGUUUAGCUUUUUAAAUCUGGUUUUUUGUUCUAUUUGUAGGUUAGCGAUUGGUUCGUCACGGGUCAGUGUUUGUUUUGUUUGUAUCACAGGAAAUGUUUUUUCCUUUGGAGAAUCGAGGGCUUUAACAGGUGCGGGAAAGUUUGGCUACUUAAAGAUUCACCGGCGGGCUACAAAAAACUAUUACCAAUUUCAUUACUUCAGGAUAAGCCAAUAGGAAAAAGAAUUCAUUUUCAGAUUUUACAGAUAAUUACUUUCUCAGUGAUACAGCAACUGAUUUGGAUAAGUCUUUCGUCAUUGUUUGCCUUCAAUGCCCGAAUCAACCAAAUAACCGCACAUGUUAAACCAUGUUGUGUGAUAAUGAUGCAGGGCAGAACCGAGUCAUACAACUGUUGUACCGAAUGAUCUCGGGGCUGAACAGGGUCAUACAAAUGUUAUACUGAAUGAUGCAGGGGCAAAACCGAGUCCUACAGCUGAUAUACUGAACAUUGUAGGUACUGGCUGAAGGCAAAACCGAGUCCUCAGAUUCAUGGAGGUUCUGGUGGAAUUGAUAUAUUUGCGAUUCAGGCAGCGAAGUUGGGCAGAUCGAGAGUAAUUGUUGUUGCAGGUGAUGAAGAGAGGCUAUCUUAUUGCGAGAGUAUGGGAAGCAAUUGUUCCACAAAAUAUGCACCCUCAAUAACCUUUUUUUUCUUCAACUGCUCUUCAAGGGUCAUUGUGCUUAGAUUAAUCUGAUUUUCUCUCCAUGCCUCUAUGCAUAUGGAUUCUCUUGCACUCUGAUGCUGGUCCAAGGAUUGCUUCAGUGGCUGGAAUCCUUAGCACUUAGCUACAUAGAUUAGAUGCUUUUUUUCAUUUCAAGAGGGUGGCAAAUUGAUCCCUUUGGCCAUUAUGCUGUGCAGGCUUACUUAUUGGAGUUGAAGUUGGCUUUGAUUCAUUUUGCUUUGAUUCAAUGAGCAAAGAUGAUCAUAUUUGGAAUUGUGGUGAAGGGACUGAUGGUUAUGUUCAUAACAGAUUUAAACAAAUUGCCGAUGGUGUUGUUGGUUUGUCGAAUCAUGGAGGUGGAAACUGGUAUCAUUUCGGUCAUGCAACAAAGGGAGUAAUAGUCAGUGUAAAACUAAUAGUUCGGAAAAAGUCGACCAAUUGCUGAUGGACAAUUGCUGUAAGUAUAAUCUAUUUUUUACUUUGUAUACACAUACCGUCAGUCUAAAGUACUUGAGAUUUGGAGUCAAUCUAAUGUUGGUUUCAAUAGUUUAAACACAUUUUGCUUUCCUAACGUGAUUCAUAGCCCAAGUGAUGAUACCGCCAGUUUAAACAUGCUUCGAAUCUUCGGGACUGGUAUUGCUGAACUUCCUUUAGUUCCAACAAGUAACAGUCAUUAUGGGAAGAUGAGACAUUACUGGAUGCAUGUCUCACUUGCAUCGUACACUUUUCUUUAUUUCAGUGAAACUUUGUGCUAAAAUUUUGAGUGGUUUGCCGUGUAUUGUGGUCACUUGCGGAAAUAACUUGGUAUUGCAUUAAUUAUACUUAUUUUGGUUUGGUAAAAAACAUGUCUACUUCCAAACACUCUUCUCCUGCCUUAAAAGGCUACUGGCCUUUAUGAAAGUAAAGAAAAUUGUGGUACCGACGGCAGAUGAAACAAUUUCGGUUUAUCAAAAUUCUGAUCUGAUAUAGCGGCAUAACGCUGCUAUAAUUGCUAUUUCGGUUUCACAAUUGAUUUUUAACAAAUUUUGUGUUUAAUAAUUUUUCUUAACAAUAGAAAUUUUUUAAAAUCUAUACAAUUAUCUACCAGUUUAUUUUUUUCUCAAUAAUAUUUUAUUUUAUAAUUUUUUUGAUUUCUCAUUACAAACUGGUGACAUAUCCAAGGUACACACCAGUACCCGUGCGGACGCACGGAUUAUUACAAUAAAUACGUAUUUUUCAUGUGAGUUAUCCUAAAUUAUGUUUCUAUUGAUUUUUAACUAAUUUUAAUUUUAAAUAUUUAUUCAUCUCAUUUAUUAAACUUAAUAUUUUCAACUAAUUUUAAAUUUAUAUCAUUAUCUUUGAACAUUUAUUUUGUUUUGCUUUUCCACAAUAAAACAUAUAUCUUAUUGAUGUUGCAUGAAAUACUUCUCGAUCUUAGAAGAUAUACAUGAUUUAUCUGGUAUACCCGGUCCAGGCCAAACCAGUACCAGUGCGGAGAUAGCAAAAUUAUAAACCCUACAUAAUUUUGAAUAAUAUAUAUUUUAUAAUACCAAUUAUACAUCUGAAAUGAAUGAAUGUGCGUCCCAUACCAGAACCCGUGCAAACGCACGGGUUAGUUACUAGUUUGGUCUUGAUGAAUAUUUAUUGUCAUUGCUUAAAUGGGAUCUUGAUCCUCUCAUGCUAAAUGUCUCCUGCUCUCCAUCCUGCUGCAAUCCAAGCCUUUAAACUAAUCUAUAUGCAAGAGAGAGAAAAAGGUCCAGAAGUCUAAACCAAUAGUUUAUUAUCCAACGGUUAGAUGUUGUGCAAGAGACAUGGCAUCAGCAAAACACAGGAGAGGAUCUAUUUCCGCUUGAAUGUGACUUCAUCAAGAUCAUUUAUCACAUCCAGUGGUCAAGUUUAUAAUAAAUCACUACUACGAAAAAGGUAUUUAACAAAGGUUGGAAUAGGUAUAUAAUCAUACAGGUUCAUGUGUUGUUAUGUAGCGUAUGUGUUGUUGUUUAUGCGGUACUUUAAAUUACGGUCCUAUGACCGUUGUAGUAAAUUGAAAAAUGUGCCCCAUAUAACAACGAUUAAGUCUAAUAACUAUUGUGAUAUUGUUGAAUAAAUGUCAACACUAUCAUACGAGAAUUAACAAUACACCAUUUUUGAAUUAAUAUCAAAAUUAGUUGUAUUAAGUACACAAUUCUAUUAAGUACAUCAAAAUAUACGUAGAAUGAAUAUCUAAGAAUGAAAGAAUAAAUUUGAACAGCUCGAGGUAGGCAAAUAUUCUUUCCAACUUUCAAGAGAAGAGAAAGUGUAUAGAAUUAAAGAACCAAUAAUGAGCAAACUAUGCGUGCAUCUUUUGAUUUUUAAACUUUGAGAAGAAGAUGAAGAAUCACAAGAAACAAUAUAGUUUGUUAUUUCAGUCUCAAGCAAACUAUGUU